GAUGAACGCUGGCGGCGUGCCAAAUACAUGCAAGUCGAGCGAACAGACGAGGAGCUUGCUCCUUCGACGUUAGCGGCGGACGGGUGAGUAACACGUAGGUAACCUACCUAUAAGACUGGGAUAACUUCGGGAAACCGGAGCUAAUACCGGAUAAUAUUUCGAACCGCAUGGUUCGAUAGUGAAAGAUGGCUUUGCUAUCACUUAUAGAUGGACCUGCGCCGUAUUAGCUAGUUGGUAAGGUAACGGCUUACCAAGGCAACGAUACGUAGCCGACCUGAGAGGGUGAUCGGCCACACUGGAACUGAGACACGGUCCAGACUCCUACGGGAGGCAGCAGUAGGGAAUCUUCCGCAAUGGGCGAAAGCCUGACGGAGCAACGCCGCGUGAGUGAUGAAGGUCUUCGGAUCGUAAAACUCUGUUAUUAGGGAAGAACAAACGUGUAAGUAACUGUGCACGUCUUGACGGUACCUAAUCAGAAAGCCACGGCUAACUACGUG
rnacentral:rRNA from 1 species